UACGAAGGGGGCUAGCGUUGUUCGGAAUUACUGGGCGUAAAGCGCACGUAGGCGGAUUUGUAAGUCAGGCGUGAAAGCCCCCGAGCUUAACUCGGGAACUGCGCUUGAUACUGUCGAGCUAGAGUGUGGAAGGGCGAUUUGGAAUUUCCGUGUGUAGCGGUGAAAUGCGUAGAUAUACGGAGGGAAACACCAGAGGCGAAGGCGGAUCGCUGGGCCAACACUGACGCUGGAUGUGCGAAAAGCUAGGGGAGCAAAACGGG
rnacentral:rRNA from 1 species